UUGCAGGCUUGACCAGCAAGGCAUAGUCUCUGUGAUUCUGGCCUUUCCUGUAACGCCUGCUAGAGAGACUGAGGUGGUUUGAGGCCUGCUGUGGUGCCCUUCACAGCAUGGUUAUAUAAUCUUCAGACAUUU